GCCUUCGUAGCGCAGCUUGGCAGCGCGUAAGUCUCAUAAUCUUAAGGUCGUGAGUUCGAUCCUCACCGAGGGCA